rnacentral:rRNA from 1 species
ACGCUCGACACCUACGGGGGCAGCAGUAGGGAAUCUUCCACAAUGGACGCAAGUCUGAUGGAGCAACGCCGCGUGAGUGAAGAGGGUCUUCGGAUCGUAAAACUCUGUUGUUAGAGAAGAACACGAGUGAGAGUAACUGUUCAUUCGAUGACGGUAUCUAACCAGCAAGUCACGGCUAACUACGUCNCNCNNCGCGAGUAUCNGCGGCGNGNGAGAG